rnacentral:SRP_RNA from 1 species
UCGUGCUAUGUGAGGAGUUAGCGGUGCCUUGAACUCGCAAUCCGCUAUAGCGAGACUGAAUUCCUUUUUUGAGGUUUUUUAACAGAUAAUUUAUUAAUUUAGUUACAAUGUUGAUAUUUGGGUCCUGUGCGACAGAUGAUCACCUAACCCCGUCAGGUUCGGAAGAAAGCAGCGGUAAGUGUUUUAUUUGGGUGCUGCAGAUUUACUUGGAUUGAGUUGUGCUAUUUUAGUAUUUAUUUGUUGAUUUAUCGAUUGAUAGGUGCACGG